rnacentral:rRNA from 1 species
UACGUAGGGGGCUAGCGUUAUCCGGAAUUACUGGGCGUAAAGGGUGCGUAGGUGGUUUCUUAAGUCAGAGGUGAAAGGCUACGGCUCAACCGUAGUAAGCCUUUGAAACUGGGAAACUUGAGUGCAGGAGAGGAGAGUGGAAUUCCUAGUGUAGCGGUGAAAUGCGUAGAUAUUAGGAGGAACACCAGUUGCGAAGGUGGCUCUCUGGACUGUAACUGACACUGAGGCACGAAAGCGUGGGGAGCAAACAGGAUUAGAUACCCGGGUAGUCCCUGAGCGGG